rnacentral:rRNA from 1 species
UCGUGUGCUUGGCUUGAGGUCGAGGAACUGAGGAGGAAUAGGCGGCGGUGCAGGACUCGACGGGUAGAUAACGCGGUGGCCCGACCAAGCAGUAGGUGGGGACGCGGAGGAUCAGGGGGACGGUUAGAGGUGGUGGAGGUGGGAGUAUGAUGACCAGGACGGUCACGCGGCGACGGGCGGCGGCCACUUGCGGGAGGCGUUCCUGACGGUGGCCGGGGAGACGACGCCGCGAGGAGCCGGCAGGGGCCGGGAGACGGAUCAGCGAUCCCUGCACCACGAGGAGACGAGGUCGGUCGGGGGGCGCGGCCAAGACCGUCAGACGAGGCUAGAGAGGGCCACCACGAGCGGACGAACCGGCCUAAGACGGUGGGUCCUGAAGGGCAGUUGUUUAUCGUUCGAUCGACCCUGUGUCUUUAUCUUCCCCUUCUAUAUAAAGUAACCACGGGAGUUGCCUUCACACAUGUGGGCCACAAAGUCAACCAGACUUAGUUGAGGUCUUUAAAUUUGUUGGUAUCUAACCUGGUGGUGGAAACUAAAGUUUAUUGGGCGGAAGUUAGAGUUAGCUCUUUCAUUGAGACAACAUAGGGUAUGACAAAAAACUUCAAAAAUCGUAGAAAAAUAGUUAAAACAACAUACUAAUUCUUAAAACACUAGUAACCGGAAAAAAAAUGGAAGACAACAUGGAACUAAAAACAUAUACCACGAAUAGACUCUACGAGUGUUCUAGUAGUUAUUGUACUACUAUAUUUCGUCCCUUCAAUUGUAUCAACAAAUAAUUUCGUGGGAUAUUAUACCAAAAAUACGAAUCAAACCUAUGAAUCUAUCAGGUUGUUAGAAUCAUCAACGUCUUCCUUUAUUCAGGGAAGUCGCUAAUCUUUCUUUUUCAAAAAGAUCUAUUAGCUUCCAGAACGUAUCUAUUAUAGUUAGUACACAGGACAAAAUAUAAGACAAACAAGUACACCACACACAAAGGAAAGCUACAUCGGUCUCAACCCUAAUCCCCCUCUUUCUACCAUGGUAUACACGUUGACAUAACUUGACUCACCGCGGAAACGUAUGAUCAAUUAGGAUGGUUACGGUGUAAAUAAAACUUCAAAAAAUCAGGUUGCAAUUACUUUAUACAAACCUAGGUUAGUAAGUUAAUUUUAUAGAUACAUAAGGUACGAAAAGAAAGUUUCUCUAAAUUUAGUCGAAAGUAGAGAAUUUAUUGUGUACAUUUUAAUAUACGACUGUAUACAAAAAAACAAAGUAAUGAAUCCGUAUAGUUUCCCGCUACCUAGCUCCAACCUACUCAGUUGGUUCUCGAUCACGACGAAUGUUUCUACCACAGCUCGUUAAAGACAGAAAACGUAAGGCACUACAAGGCCGACCACUAUCUUAAGGAACAGGAACACAUUUAACGGUUUUAUUUCGAUACGUCUCAAUACUACCUCACUUUCUGAGUGAACUCUACACUACCAUAAGAAGGUCCAAUGUGAUUCACCCAAACGGUACCUCUCCUAAUGUCACUUGGUAGUAAACGUAAACGAGUACAUAAUCUAUUAUCACCGUUAGAAAGAUAAGGACCG